rnacentral:lncRNA from 1 species
UCCUAGUUUGGGAUUGGGUGGGAAGACCUCAUAAAAUAGUGAAGGGUAGACUGAGUCUUGAAUGACCUAAACAAAUAUAUAGAUAUAAUUGGCCAGCCCUCAGCUGGUCUCUGAUUAUGACCCGACCUGCUGAGAUAAAAUCCAGUGCAUCCUGUGCUACCUUGUUCAUGUCCCAGGAUUCAGUGACUUUGGGCAACUGAGGCUGUACAGGAAGCAUGGCUGGAGAGGCCCCAGGAAACUUACAAUCAUGGUGGAAAGCAAAGGGGAAGCAGACUGUACAGGAAGCAUGGCUGGGAGGCUUCAGGAAUUUACAAUCAUGGCAGAAGGCAAAGAGGAAACAAGCACAUCUUCUCAUGGUCAGCAGGAGAGAGAGAGUGAAGGGGUGCUGGUGAUGCAAUCAGACAAGUUCUCUGCUGUUCUGGAGUUUACAUUUGGAAGAAUUGUGUUAUAUACCAGGGAAGGAUGUGGUAACUCUCCUGAAACCUUCCCUUGGUCAUUGUCUUCUUCUUCUUCUCCUCCUCCCUUUUCUCCCUCUCUUCCCCCUCCUCCUUCUCCUCUUAUUCUUCUUCCUCCUUCUGUUUUUAAAUGAGGAAGCCCAUAGAAAAUAUUGUGACAGGGAGAAAUGGAUUUUAAAUAAGUAUGACUGAAAAAAAACUUUUACUAUAAUAGAAAAUCUUGGUGCUGAGGGAAGAAAUCCAAAAAAUUAAAAAUCUUCAGAAGGUAUGUCUUUGAACAGACAA